rnacentral:lncRNA from 1 species
UGAUAUUGCAAUCUUUCUGAAGGAGCAUUACCUGAUGACAUUGGCUGCUUAUCCUCACUUAAGAGUUUAAACUUGAGUGGAAAUAAUUUUAUGAGGAUUCCAGAAAGCAUCUGUCAACUUACUAAGCGUAAAGAACUUAAAUUGGAUAAUUGUAGCAAGCUUCUAUCAUUGCCAAAACUUCCAUUAAGUUUACCAGAAGUAUCAGUUCUU